UGUGGUUUUGGAUGGACUCGCGGCCUAUCAGCUUGUUGGUGAGGUAAUGGCUUACCAAGGCGACGACGGGUAGCCGGCCUGAGAGGGUGACCGGCCACACUGGGACUGAGACACGGCCCAGACUCCUACGGGAGGCAGCAGUGGGGAAUAUUGCACAAUGGGCGCAAGCCUGAUGCAGCGACGCCGCGUGAGGGAUGACGGCCUUCGGGUUGUAAACCUCUUUCAGUAGGGAAGAAGCGAAAGUGACGGUACCUGCAGAAGAAGCGCCGGCUAACUACGUGCCAGCAGCCGCGGUAAUACGUAGGGCGCAAGCGUUAUCCGGAAUUAUUGGGCGUAAAGAGCUCGUAGGCGGUUUGUCGCGUCUGCCGUGAAAGUCCGGGGCUCAACUCCGGAUCUGCGGUGGGUACGGGCAGACUAGAGUGAUGUAGGGGAGACUGGAAUUCCUGGUGUAGCGGUGAAAUGCGCAGAUAUCAGGAGGAACACCGAUGGCGAAGGCAGGUCUCUGGGCAUUAACUGACGCUGAGGAGCGAAAGCAUGGGGAGCGAACAGGAUUAGAUACCCUGGUAGUCCAUGCCGUAAACGUUGGGCACUAGGUGUGGGGGACAUUCCACGUUUUCCGCGCCGUAGCUAACGCAUUAAGUGCCCCGCCUGGGGAGUACGGCCGCAAGGCUAAAACUCAAAGGAAUUGACGGGGGCCCGCACAAGCGGCGGAGCAUGCGGAUUAAUUCGAUGCAACGCGAAGAACCUUACCAAGGCUUGACAUGAACCGGUAAUACCUGGAGACAGGUGCCCCGCUUGCGGUCGGUUUACAGGUGGUGCAUGGUUGUCGUCAGCUCGUGUCGUGAGAUGUUGGGUUAAGUCCCGCAACGAGCGCAACCCUCGUUCUAUGUUGCCAGCACGUGAUGGUGGGGACUCAUAGGAGACUGCCGGGGUCAACUCGGAGGAAGGUGGGGACGACGUCAAAUCAUCAUGCCCCUUAUGUCUUGGGCUUCACGCAUGCUACAAUGGCCGGUACAAAGGGUUGCGAUACUGUGAGGUGGAGCUAAUCCCAAAAAGCCGGUCUCAGUUCGGAUUGGGGUCUGCAACUCGACCCCAUGAAGUCGGAGUCGCUAGUAAUCGCAGAUCAGCAACGCUGCGGUGAAUACGUUCCCGGGCCUUGUACACACCGCCCGUCAAGUCACGAAAGUUGGUAACACCCGAAGCCGGUGGCCUAACCCCUUGUGGGAGGGAGCUGUCGAAGGU
rnacentral:rRNA from 1 species